rnacentral:tRNA from 1 species
ACCUGAAAGCGAAUUCGCGCUAAGUUUCGGCCUUAGUUUUGGGAACCUCUUCUCUCAGGUG